CCUACGGGAGGCAGCAGUGAGGAAUCUUGGUCAAUGGACGAGAGUCUGAACCAGCAAAGUAGCGUGAAGGAUGACUGCCCUAUGGGUUGUAAACUUCUUUUAUAUGGGAAUAAAAUGUUCCACGUGUGGGAUUUUGUAUGUACCAUAUGAAUACGGAUCGGCUAACGCCGUGCCAGCAGCCGCGGUAAUACGGAGGAUCCGAGCGUUAUCCGGAUUUAUUGGGUUUAAAGGGAGCGUAGGUGGAUUGUUAAGUCAGUUGUGAAAGUUUGCGGCUCAACCGUAAAAUUGCAGUUGAAACUGGCAGUCUUGAGUACAGUAGAGGUAGGCGGAAUUCGUGGUGUAGCGGUGAAAUGCUUAGAUAUCACGAAGAACUCCGAUUGCGAAGGCAGUUCACUGGACUGCAACUGACACUGAGGCUCGAAAGUGUGGGUAUCAAACAGGAUUAGAUACCCGAGUAGUC
rnacentral:rRNA from 1 species